AGUGAACGCUGGCGGUAGGCCUAACACAUGCAAGUCGAACGGCAGCACAGUAAGAGCUUGCUCUUACGGGUGGCGAGUGGCGGACGGGUGAGGAAUACAUCGGAAUCUACUUUUUCGUGGGGGAUAGCGUAGGGAAACUUACGCUAAUACCGCAUACGACCUACGGGUGAAAGCAGGGGAUCUUCGGACCUUGCGCGAUUGAAUGAGCCGAUGUCGGAUUAGCUAGUUGGCGGGGUAAAGGCCCACCAAGGCGACGAUCCGUAGCUGGUCUGAGAGGAUGAUCAGCCACACUGGAACUGAGACACGGUCCAGACUCCUACGGGAGGCAGCAGUGGGGAAUAUUGGACAAUGGGCGCGAGCCUGAUCCAGCCAUACCGCGUGGGUGAAGAAGGCCUUCGGGUUGUAAAGCCCUUUUGUUGGGAAAGAAAAGCAGCAGGUUAAUACCCCGCUGUUCUGACGGUACCCAAAGAAUAAGCACCGGCUAACUUCGUG
rnacentral:rRNA from 1 species